rnacentral:ribozyme from 1 species
UGCAUAUGCAUAUGUUCAGGUAUGGAUCCGACGCCCCUCAAAGGAUAUUAAAGGCUCUCCACACUCUACUCGUUCUCAAUACGUCCCCGGCGUACAGAGCGGUAACAUGUCUCUCCAAAUAUCUGAGCAUGGGUAUACGAUUGGAAACUCGAAACAUGGAACUGCAGAUA